rnacentral:rRNA from 1 species
GUGGGGAAUAUUGGACAAUGGGCGAAAGCCUGAUCCAGCCAUGCCGCGUGUGUGAAGAAGGUCUUCGGAUUGUAAAGCACUUUAAGUUGGGAGGAAGGGCAGUAAGUUAAUACCUUGCUGUUUUGACGUUACCGACAGAAUAAGCACCGGCUAACUUCGUGCCAGCAGCCGCGGUAAUACGAAGGGUGCAAGCGUUAAUCGGAAUUACUGGGCGUAAAGCGCGCGUAAGUGGUUUUGUAAGUUGGAGGUGAAAUCCCCGGGCUCAACCUGGGAACUGCCUCCAAAACUGCAUGACUAGAGUACGGUAGAGGGUAGUGGAAUUUCCUGUGUAGCGGUGAAAUGCGUAGAUAUAGGAAGGAACACCAGUGGCGAAGGCGACUACCUGGACUGAUACUGACACUGAGGUGCGAAAGCGUGGGGAGCAAACAGGAUUAGAUACCCGGGUAGUCC